rnacentral:rRNA from 1 species
AUUGAACGCUGGCGGCAGGCCUAACACAUGCAAGUCGAGCGGAGCGGCGGACGGGGGAGUAAUGCCUAGGAAUCUGCAUGGUAGUGGGGUGUAACGUCCGGAACCGGGCGCUAAUACCGCAUACUAUAAGAUGAGACUAGGUCGGAUUAGCUAGUUGGUGGGGUAAAGGCCUACCAAGGCGACGAUCCGGAACUGGUCUGAGAGGAUGAUCAGUCACAUGUGAACUGAGACACGGCCCAGACUCCUACGGGAGGCAGCAGUGGGGAAUAUUGGACAAUGGGCGCAAGCCUGAUCUAGCUAUGCCGCGUGUGUGAAGAAGGUCUUCGGAUUGUAAAGCACUUUAAGUUGGGAGGCGUUACCAACAGAAUAAGCACCGGCUAACUUCGUGCCAGCAGCCGCGGUAAUAC